rnacentral:lncRNA from 1 species
ACAGUCAAAAAAUGAUUGAUGGGGAAGGAGAAAGAAGAGAAUACCAUAUGAAUGACGAUGAGAUUCCAAAGAGAAAAUUAAUGAGGACAAAGAGGUCACCAGAGUACUUAAGGGACUAUAUAUGUGAUCAGAUUCAAGGGAACAAUGAUUAUAUAGAGUUGUCUGAUCCACAAGUUCGCAAUGGUGGUGUCGUUCCCCUAUCAAGCACAGUUGCAUAUAGU